rnacentral:tRNA from 1 species
GGUCUUCAUAGCUCAGUUGGUUGAGCGCUGCAGCGCUAACGCAGAGGCCAAGGGUUCGAAUCCCGUUGAAGCCC